rnacentral:rRNA from 1 species
UGACAGGUGGUGCAUGGUUGUCGUCAGCUCGUGUCGUGAGAUGUUGGGUUAAGUCCCGCAACGAGCGCAACCCUUAUUGUUAGUUGCCAUCAUUNAGUUGGGCACUCUAGCAAGACUGCCGGUGACAAACCGGAGGAAGGUGGGGAUGACGUCAAAUCAUCAUGCCCCUUAUGACCUGGGCUACACACGUGCUACAAUGGGAAGUACAACGAGUUGCGAAGUCGCGA